rnacentral:lncRNA from 1 species
GCAAUUUGUCAAGCAACAAAUUAACAGAAAAAAUUUAAUGGAGAAUACACCAAUCACACAACACAAGAUUUACGUGGAAAACUCCAAAUCCGGAGAAAAACCACGGCCGUUGUCAAAAAGACAACCAGAGAAAAAAUAUUCACUAUGUGGAAAAUUAUUACAACCACACUCUCAGAAAUAAUUUUCUCUCACCUAAGCCCCAAAUACACCCCAAAGAAAUACUCUCUGAAUGAAGAAAAGAAGCCGAGGAUUAGAUGCAAAAAACCAAAAAUGGGGAGCUUUCUUUAUAUAGCCAAAAUUGGCUAUUAUUUUAAUAUUUUCUUUAUUCUUCUCGUGGCUUCUUCAAAGCCGUGUUCCAACAUUUUUCUUUCUUCCAUUUUGGCGUUUCAACCAUCAUUUGUCAAGAUCAACUUCUGCAACAUCUUCUUCAUUCUUCCUUGGCGGUCCCUUCAACAUUUGCUGCAUCAACGCUUCUAGAUGUAGCUUCUAGAAGUUGCAGCCAAAAACUUUGACAUUCUCCCACUUGGAGAUUUGAUUGAGAACCAAUCAAUCUUCACACCAAGUUUAUUAUUUUCCUCACCAUAGAGAAUUAUCAUACCCCACCAUAAAAGAGUAUACCACUUAGAAUUAAUUACCAAUUCUAAGAAUUUUACGUCGGCACAUGUCGAAAUAUCCUGCUGAAAUUUAUGGUGCAACUUCCAUGUUGGCCUUCCUGGAAGUUUGUCAGCCAUCGACAUAAAUUCCACCACACACCCUGCAUCAAUGCCAACCAUGCCUUGUGUGUAAAUCUUGUGGACCCGCUAGUAGUAACAUAUCCCCUUUCAUGGUACUAGCGGUAUACCAUGAGGAUGUCAUCAUCAUCCAUUUUACAAGGGAUCAUCGUCUCCCACGAUGAUGAGAGACUUACCACUAGCAAUACUAUCAGUAUCUGAUCUGGAGCCACUUGCCGAUCCUGCUCCAUUUCUACUAUGACAAUCUCUUUUUAAGUGCCCCGAUUGUCCACACCCCCAGCAGACUCCUUUCUUCUUAGAUUUAUCUUUCUGCCAAUUCCCUACAACUGCCAAAGCCGAGACAUCUAUAGUUUUAGUACUUUCACCACCCAGUCUCCUUUCUUCUGAGAGUAAAGUACUAGUAACUUCUUCAAGAUCUACUGUCUCCUUCCCAUACAUCAAAGUAGGUAACAAGUGUUUGUAGGAAGUUGGAAGUGACCAUAGUAACCUAAGCGCCUUGUCCUCAUCUUCAAUUUUAACUCCAAUGGCUUCUAGUUCUGACACAAUACCAUUGAGAACACUGAGGUGAUCGGAAAUUUUUGUACCUUCAGCCAUUCGCAGUGUGUGAAAUCGCUCCUUCAGGUACAAUCGAUUUGAGAUGCUCUUUGUCUGAUACAACUUUUCUAGCUUCUCCCAAAGUUCUUUCGCUGUAGGAAUUUUUCCUACAUUUGCAAGAACAUUCUUUGCUAGACACAGUCGUAUGGCACUUGCAGCUCUAUCAUCUAAUUCUUCCCAAUCUUCAUCACUUAUACUAGUUUUUCCAGAGCCACUACUGGAAGCAGGGGAUGGCUUCCCCUUCAAUGCCUUGUGUAACCCAGAUUGAAUUAACACAUCUUUGACUUGAACUUGCCACAAGCCAAAGUUAAUUCUCCCAUCGAAUUUUUCUAUUUCAAAUUUCACCGGACUUGAAAAUUUCAAUCCUGACAUAUUUGCUUUGCAGAUAAGCUUUUACUCUUCACCACAGACUGUUUGGAUUGGCUCCCACUGCUUCACGUGAAUAGUACUGUAUACGUGAACAGUACCGUAUACGUGAACAGUGCCCCAACACCAAAACUUAAAUCAAUGGCUCUGAUACCACUGUUAGGAAAUUGAGCUUCCUCCCAAGAUCACUCUAAGCAAUUUGUCAAGCAACAAAUUAACAGAAAAAAUUUAAUGGAGAAUACACCAAUCACACAACACAAGAUUUACGUGGAAAACUCCAAAUCCGGAGAAAAACCACGGCCGUUGUCAAAAAGACAACCAGAGAAAAAAUAUUCACUAUGUGGAAAAUUAUUACAACCACACUCUCAGAAAUAAUUUUCUCUCACCUAAGCCCCAAAUACACCCCAAAGAAAUACUCUCUGAAUGAAGAAAAGAAGCCGAGGAUUAGAUGCAAAAAACCAAAAAUGGGGAGCUUUCUUUAUAUAGCCAAAAUUGGCUAUUAUUUUAAUAUUUUCUUUAUUCUUCUCGUGGCUUCUUCAAAGCCGUGUUCCAACAUUUUUCUUUCUUCCAUUUUGGCGUUUCAACCAUCAUUUGUCAAGAUCAACUUCUGCAACAUCUUCUUCAUUCUUCCUUGGCGGUCCCUUCAACAUUUGCUGCAUCAAUGCUUCUAGAUGUAGCUUCUAGAAGUUGCAGCCAAAAACUUUGACAGUUCCUGCAAUUACAAAAUUCGAUCCCACUCCCUCAACACUGUUAACACAAGACGGUUGCAUUUAGGUUCACUCUUUUUUUAUUAUUAUAAUAAUGUUGUGUAUUAUUAAAUGUUAAUUAAGGGUCUUUUGUGAGUCCAAAUUUAAACAAUGAGGAUGCAUUAAACACAAUG